ensembl:misc_RNA 7SK 7SK RNA
GGAUGCGAGGGCGUCUGUCUGCGUGUCUGUCACCCCACGGAUCGCCGGGGGGGGGGGAAUGAUUCCACUGAUCUGGCUGGCUAGGCCAGUGUCCUCCCUCCACGCCCCACGUGCGUCCCUCCCGAAGCCGCGCGCUCGGCGAAGAGGACCAGCAUCCCCGAGGCAGGAGGACGGGUCUUCCCUGCGUGAACCUCCAAGCAAGCUGUCAGGAAA